rnacentral:rRNA from 1 species
UACGAAGGGGGCUAGCGUUGCUCGGAAUUACUGGGCGUAAAGGGCGCGUAGGCGGAUAGUUUAGUCAGAGGUGAAAGCCCAGGGCUCAACCUUGGAAUUGCCUUUGAUACUGGCUAUCUUGAGUUCGGGAGAGGUGAGUGGAAUGCCGAGUGUAGAGGUGAAAUUCGUAGAUAUUCGGCGGAACACCAGUGGCGAAGGCGGCUACCUGGACCAGCACUGACACUGAGGCACGAAAGCGUGGGGAGCAAACAGG